CAAAGCAAACCGGUUGGAAUUCUUAUUUGGAUUUGAUUUUCUCCUAUUUGUAUAAUUCGGUAUUGUUUGAAUUUCAACAUUCUGCUCUUAAUAUUUGUCUGUUGCCCUUACAUUUGGCACUAAAUAGUUACGCAUUCUUGAACAUAACUUAUUUAUUCCGACAAUCCUUGUGAGUGUAAAGUACGAUCUACUACUUUCUCCCAAAAAAAUGAACAUGGUAAAUAGGUUCAUGCAAGCCGAUUCUAGUAACCUACCAGAAGUAAACACCUUGAUGAUUCUUGAAUAUGUUACGAGCAGCAACAAGCACAGUAUUGAUGAAAUAAGAGACGUGAAAAGAUUGGCGGCAUCAGACGAACAUUAUGUUAUAGAUGCUGUAGGAUUUGUGCAGCUAAAAAACAAUGGCACUGAAUGCCUUGUUAAGGCCAAAGUUGCUUCAGAAGAGGAGGGUGAAGUUAAAUAUUACACUGUGUCUGUUCAUGUAAAUGAAAAUACCAUUACUGACAGUUCAUGUGAUUGCCAUCCUGAAUUAGCAGGAGGAUGUAAACACACUUUGUUAUUCAUGUGUUGGCUGGAAGAGAAAUCAUCAUUACCUGAAAGCGCUCCAGUGCAAUGUUUUUGGCAUAAACCCCUAUUGGGAACUAAUUGUUCACUGCUUGCCAAGGACGUAUUUAAUUUCUAAAGAGCGCUCAACAUCUUUACCUAUUGCAGAAUGAGGAUGCAAACACACUUUUUUGUUCCUGUUUUGGUUGAAAAAUAAAUCAUCCAUACCGGAAAGAGCUUCAGUGCAAUGUUUUUGGCAUAAGCCUCUAUUGGGAACUAAUUGUUCAUUGCUUGCUAAGGACAUUUUUAAAUUCAAAUCAAAAAGGAGUGCCGUGGAACCGCAACCAAGAAACCCUGAUGUGCUCAAGAACUUUAUUGAAGAAUGUAAGAAAAGGAACAUUACAAACUCUCUUAUUUUGAACUAUUCGCCUCCACAGUAAAUGCUGUUGGUAAGUGCUUAUUGCUUAGUGCACUAUUUUUUAUUAAGUAAGUUUUUGAUCACCUAAAGGAUGAGAAGACAUCCAGUUUUUGUUUGAUAAUGUAAGUGAACGUAUCAUUCCAGUUAAAAAUGGAAGACACUGUCAAUGUUAACAUCGGGGGCUUGUGGCAUUUAGGUCGCUUUUGACGUUUCUGACAGACUAGUGAUGUGUACGAGUUCUGUACGAGUCGAGCAGAGGAAUCACUUAAAAGGUACAUGAAAAUUCGUGAUAGACAAUUAAGAUUUUUCUUAAUGUUUAGAAGUUAUCCUGCGUCUUCUAUCCGCUUGGGUGGUCAAAAUCCGCUUGGUGUAAGAAAGUAAUAUUUCGACUUCGACUGACGUGAUGGCGUGAUGGGUAUAACAAGCAUUCUUCUGUAAUGUUUCAGCGUUAUUGGUGUUCUCUUUCAUUUCAACUUCAAAAUUCUAAGAUUCGCAACGACCGCGACACGUCUCGUAAUAAUUACUGAAUCAAUGACAAUGUCGUACAAUUGUCAUUGAUGUUUUUUAAAUAGCGAUCAUACCGAUAGGUAUGUUAAAACAAUGUACGUAAGUAUUAAUUUGUUAUUUUAUCGUACCAGAGUAGACACUUGAAAAAUGUGUCUCAUCACUAGUGCUACCUAAAUGCCACAAGUCACCGAUGUAUGUUUAUAAUUAACAUGUAUAAUACCUAAUAUUGUCUUCGGUUACCGCGAUAGUUACUCAUGAAAUAAAACUAUGAAAACGGAUUAUAUCGCGUAUAUUGAAUUUAUAAUACAUCGAUUUUUUAUCGAUUUAUAUCUUUACUUGAAAAUAAUUGUAGUGUAUAAGUAUAACUAGCCUUAUGAACCGCUUUUGCAUGUACAACCAGCCUUAAAGUUUAUAGUCUAUGAUUGUUCAUUAUUUUAGUAUGUGGGUAUUUUUGCACUUUGUAAUUUUUCCUCAGUCACCUGUUGACCACGAACGCUGUAAAGGGUUCGAAACGUCGGGAUGUAUUAUAAAUUUAAUAUACGCGAUAUAAUCCGUUUUCAUAGUUUUAUUUCAUGUAUAAUACCUACUAGACCAUUAGAUCUUACCAUAAUGUGGUACUUCUAAACUGAAUACUUUGCACUAGUUUAAUACUAGAAUAUUAAAGCUCUAUUUGUUAAAGUUUUAACAGUAAUGUUUUACUAGUUAGUUAUACUUUACUGUUUUUUUUUUGUAACAUCAAAUUUAGCAACUUGUAGUAAGUAAAUUUCUAUAUAACUAAGUUUCUUUGUUACUCUGUCUCUAAUUUUUAUAAAUAUA